rnacentral:rRNA from 1 species
GACGAACGCUGGCGGCGUGCCUAAUACAUGCAAGUCGAGCGGAUCUUCAUUAGCUUGCUUUUGAAGAUCAGCGGCGGACGGGUGAGUAACACGUGGGCAACCUGCCUGUAAGACUGGGAUAACUUCGGGAAACCGGAGCUAAUACCGGAUAAUCCUUUUCCUCUCAUGAGGAAAAGCUGAAAGACGGUUUCGGCUGUCACUUACAGAUGGGCCCGCGGCGCAUUAGCUAGUUGGUGAGGUAACGGCUCACCAAGGCGACGAUGCGUAGCCGACCUGGGAGGGUGAUCGGCCACACUGGGACUGAGACACGGCCCAGACUCCUACGGGAGGCAGCAGUAGGGAAUCUUCCGCAAUGGACGAAAGUCUGACGGAGCAACGCCGCGUGAGCGAUGAAGGCCUUCGGGUCGUAAAGCUCUGUUGUCAGGGAAGAACAAGUAUCGGAGUAACUGCCGGUACCUUGACGGUACCUGACCAGAAAGCCACGGCUAACUACGUGCCAGCCGCCGCCGUAAUAC